rnacentral:rRNA from 1 species
GUGAGUAAUGCUCAGGAAUCUGCCUAUUAGUGGGGGACACCAUUCCGAGAGGAAUGCUAAGACCGCGUACGUCCUCCGGGAGAAAGCAGGGGAUCUUCGGACCUUGCGCUAAUAGAUGAGCCUAAGUCGGAUUAGCUAGUUGGUGGGGUAAAGGCCUACCAAGGCGACGAUCUGUAGCGGGUCUGAGAGGAUGGUCCGCCGACACUGGGACUGAGACACGGGCCAGACUCCUACGGGGGGCAGCAGGUGG